GUGCCAGCAGCCGCGGUAAUACGUAGGGUCGCAGAGCGUUGUCCGCAAUUAUUGGGCGUAAAGAGCUGGUCGGCGGCGUGUCGCGUCUGUUGUGAAAGACCGGGGCUUAACCCCGGUUCUGCAGUGGAUACGGGCAUGCUAGAGGUAGGUAGGGGAGACUGGAAUUCCUGGUGUAGCGGUGAAAUGCGCAGAUAUCAGGAGGAACACCGGUGGCGAAGGCGGGUCUCUGGGCCUUACCUGACGCUGAGGAGCGAAAGCAUGGGGAGCGAACAGGCUUAGAUACCCUGGUAGUCC
rnacentral:rRNA from 1 species